rnacentral:rRNA from 1 species
CCUACGGGGAGCAGCAGUGAGGAAUAUUGGUCAAUGGGCGCGAGCCUGAACCAGCCAAGUCGCGUGAGGGAAGACGGUCCUAUGGAUUGUAAACCUCUUUUGUCGGGGAGCAAAAGACGCCACGCGUGGCGUUCCGAGAGUACCCGAAGAAAAAGCAUCGGCUAACUCCGUGCCAGCAGCCGCGGUAAUACGGAGGAUGCGAGCGUUAUCCGGAUUUAUUGGGUUGAAAGGGUGCGCAGGCGGAAGAUCAAGGCAGCGGUAAAAUUGAGAGGCUCAACCUCUUCGAGCCGUUGAAACUGGUGGUCUUGAGUGAGUGAGAAGUAUGCGGAAUGCGUGGUGUAGCGGUGAAAUGCAUAGAUAUCACGCAGAACUCCGAUUGCGAAGGCAGCAUACCGGCGCUCAACUGACGCUCAUGCACGAAAGUGUGGGUAUCGAACAGGAUUAGAUACCCUUGUAGUC